rnacentral:rRNA from 1 species
CCAAUAGCGUAUAUUAAAGUUGUUGCAGUUAAAAAGCUCGUAGUUGAACUUCGGGGUUUACCCAUUGGUCAGUCUUAAUUGUCUGUACUGGUGAGAUAAAUCUCUACCUUCUGAGGAACUUUCAUGUCAUUUAUUUGGUGUGAUGGGAAAUCAGGACUGUUACUUUGAAAAAAUUAGAGUGUUUAAAGCAGGCUAACGUCUGAAUACAUUAGCAUGGAAUAAUGAAAUAGGACGGACUGAUUCUAUUUCGUUGGUUUCUAGGAUCACCGUAAUGAUUAAUAGGGAUAGUUGGGGGCAUUAGUAUUCAAUUGUCAGAGGUGAAAUUCUUGGAUUUAUUGAAGACUAACUACUGCGAAAGCAUUUGCCAAGGAUGUUUUCAUUAAUCAAGAACGAAAGUUAGGGGAUCGAAGACGAUCAGAUACCGUCGUAGUCUUAACCAUAAACUAUGCCGACUAGGGAUCGGACGAAGUUAAUUUUAUAAUGACGCGUUCGGCACCUUACG